UUUUCAUUGCUCCUAAAGGUAUCAGAUUAAGAAAAUGGACAGAAGCAAGAAACAGAUAUACGGCCUGCAAAGGGGCCUUGCCAGGCGGGCAGCUCAUCAGUGUUACCUGUGUGUCGUUCUCCAGAUGCUUUCAUGGCAAAUGGCAUUUGUAAAAUGCUAAAUCACGUGGCGUCUGGGAGAAGGGGAGAUGAUGGCCAGGGAAGGCCGUCGUGUCUUCCCGCCUCCUGCCUCAGUCCUGGGACGACAGAGCUGCACCUCUAAGUUCCCAGGAGAGGGUGGUCCAUUUGAGUGUAGCCAUCUCCUCAAGACAUGUUGAAAUGAAUUUCCAUGUUCAUCAAACCAUGAAUUAUUGAAAAGCACUCAGGAAUUUUUGUGUUCCAUUUACACGAAUCAAUGAACAGAGGUUUAGCGUCAACCUUUGCUUCACUGCUUUAUGGUUUAUAAAGACAGGGCAACAAUUUCAAGUGUAUACUGAGAACGAGCUUAUUCGUGGUUGGAAUAAAUUAAAAGAAUGGCCUUUAUAAGAAAGAUUCAGAAUCUGUAUGAAGCAAAUGACUAGGUCAGCAGGUAGACAGA
rnacentral:lncRNA from 1 species